ensembl:lncRNA
GGGGAGACUUUCAUAUCUGGUCAAGGUCAUUAAUAUUAUUUUGUAUUUUUACUUGGAAUAAAUUAAUUUUAUGAUGCUAAUUCUUUAAAAAAAAACUUUAUUUUUUCGUUUGUUCACUAUAUUAUUUUUUGAAGCUGAAAAACUUUUGUAAUAUUGUUACUAGUGUCUAGAUUUUUUGAAAUGCAAAGCUUUGUGUUAACUCGCUGAUGUUGCUUACAUUAGUGUGACAAUGAUCUAAGGGGAGGAAAAACUACAAAAAAAGAACUUGAUGACAGAUGGUCUCAUUUAAGUGAUUGGCAAUGUGAAAUGAAUGAACAGGCAAUAAAUAAAGAGGCAGAAUGGUGCAGAAUGUGGUAUGUUGUGAUAUUGUGAAAACUAGACAAGGCUAUUUACCAAUCCCCCUGCUUCUGCUAUGACUAAUAAAGCCCCAUCUUGUAUAGUCCAUAACCACACUGUCAAUGUAACACUGCUGUUGAUUCGAAAGAUCACACAAAUGUAAAUCCUCUCACAUGACCCUCCCUUUAUUUUGCAAUAGUGGGUUAACCCCUGUAGGAAUCUAAGGAGGCCAUGUGUAACAGUGAGAUUGUAUUGAAAUAUGAAUGUAAAUGUGAAAAUACAAUGUCUAAUGAAGUGAAAGGGAUUACUAGUUGCAAUCAAGUCACCUUAUUAGGAGGCAUGGAUCUGUUUAUCUUUCUAUCCCUAAACUGACCAGAUGGUUCAAAUACAUGUACCCUCUAACUAAUUUCCUCUUUGAUAUUAUGUGGCCCACUUGUAGCAGAUGACAUUGACCUGAUUUCACCCUCAAUUAGUCCUAACUUACUGUACUACAGUAUGGUCUACAAGAGAAAAACCCAAUGCAAAUGCUGGUCUGAGAACAUGACUUGCUGCUUUGCUUUUUCUACAAGUUUGUACAAGUGGUGUUUUACUAAUAACCCUUGUACUAACCAAUGGUUGCUUUCUCCCAAGGUCAGUAUUACAGUCAUACUAUCAAGUAUUUGUUUUGUAUUUAUCCUUUUUUCUGCAGAGCAAAGUUGUAUACCCUGACAAUAAGCAAUUGUCUAUGUGCAACUGAAAGGCACAGUUAGAUUAAGAUUUGUCCGGAAGAAAAUCAUCCCUGGCAAUUUCAUAUAAUCCUCUAUAAAUAUUCCUUUCCUAUAUAUUUCAUGCAACACUAGAUUUGAAUAGUAUGUAUUCACUUAAGAUUCAUCGACAUUCUCUCUGGGUAAUCAGUAGACGUCUUCAUCAUUGUAAUCUCAAAAAAGGAAAAAGAUUUGAACACAUGCUCAAUAUUUUUUUUUCUCAGACAAAACCACUAGUUUAUAAAUUUACUUUUAAAAAGUAAUCUUUUUUUUUUCUCCGAUACUAUACUUGCUAUUUUUGGUUUUAUUACUGGACGAGGCUUUCAGAUUGUUGACUUGGACCUAUGCUUGUCUGAAUUUGCAUUACAACUGUGAUAAAAAAAAAUUUAAAAAACAUGGCGCUCUAUGCUGCUAAUGCUUACUACUACUGCUUCAAGUUUGUAGUUCCCACCUUUUUCAGUUUCUGUACUAAUACCAAUCAAAUCUUAUUAAACGUAGCUGUAUGACGGUG